rnacentral:rRNA from 1 species
GACGAACGCUGGCGGCGUGCUUAACACAUGCAAGUCGAACGGAAAGGCCCUGCUUUUGUGGGGUGCUCGAGUGGCGAACGGGUGAGUAACACGUGAGUAACCUGCCCUUGACUUUGGGAUAACUUCAGGAAACUGGGGCUAAUACCGGAUAGGAGCUCCUGCUGCAUGGUGGGGGUUGGAAAGUUUCGGCGGUUGGGGAUGGACUCGCGGCUUAUCAGCUUGUUGGUGGGGUAGUGGCUUACCAAGGCUUUGACGGGUAGCCGGCCUGAGAGGGUGACCGGUCACAUUGGGACUGAGAUACGGCCCAGACUCCUACGGGAGGCAGCAGUGGGGAAUAUUGCACAAUGGGCGGAAGCCUGAUGCAGCAACGCCGCGUGCGGGAUGACGGCCUUCGGGUUGUAAACCGCUUUCGCCUGUGACGAAGCGUGAGUGACGGUAAUGGGUAAAGAAGCACCGGCUAACUACGUG